GGCCGAGCAGGCGGCGAGUUGUAGCCUCGUGUACGGGRAGAAUGCCCCCCAGCCAA
rnacentral:tRNA from 1 species